rnacentral:rRNA from 1 species
AUUGAACGCUGGCGGCAGGCCUAACACAUGCAAGUCGAACGAGUGGCGGACGGGUGAGUAAUGUCCGGGAAACUGCCUGAUGGAGGGGGAUAACUACUGGAAACGGUAGCUAAUACCGCAUACAAUCAGAAGUGCCCAGAUGGGAUUAGCUAGUUGGUGGGGUAACGGCUCACCAAGGCGACGAUCCCUAGCUGGUCUGAGAAGAUGACCAGCGCCACUGAAACUGAUACACGGUCCAGACUCCUACGGGUGGCAGCAGUGGGGAAUAUUGCACAAUGGGCGCAAGCCUGAUGCGGCCAUGCCGCGUGUAUGAAGAAGGCCUUCGGGUUGUAACGUACUUUCAGCGGAGAGGCGUUACCCGCAGAAGAAGCACCGGCUACCUCCAUGCCAGCGGCCGCGGUAAUUC